UGGCGGCGUGGCUCAGACAUGCAAGUCGAACGAUUAAAGCUCUCUUCGGAGAGUGUAUAGAGUGGCGCACGGGUGAGUAACACGUAAGUAAUCUACCCUCGAGUGGGGAAUAACAACCGGAAACGGUUGCUAAUACCGCAUAAUGCAGCGGCACCGCAAGGUGACAGUUGUUAAAGAUUUAUCGCUUGAGGAGGAGCUUGCGGCAGAUUAGCUAGUUGGUAGGGUAACGGCUUACCAAGGCUACGAUCUGUAACCGGUCUAAGAGGACGGUCGGUCACACUGACACUGAAUAACGGGUCAGACUCCUACGGGAGGCAGCAGUCGGGAAUUUUGGGCAAUGGGCGAAAGCCUGACCCAGCAACGCCGCGUGAAGGAUGAAGUAUUUCGGUAUGUAAACUUC
rnacentral:rRNA from 1 species